UACGUAGGGGGCAAGCGUUGUCCGGAUUUACUGGGCGUAAAGCGCGCGUAGGCGGACGCUUAAGUGUGGCCUGAAAGCCCCCGGCUCAACCGGGGAGGGCGGCUGCAAACUGGGCGUCUUGAGGGCGAUAGAGGUCGGUGGAAUUCCUGGUGUAGCGGUGAAAUGCGUAGAGAUCAGGAGGAAGGCCGGUGGCGAAGGCGGCGAUCUGGAACAUUUCUGACGCUGAGGCUCGAAAGCGUGGGGAGCAAACAGG
rnacentral:rRNA from 1 species